rnacentral:rRNA from 2 species
UGGGCCUAAAGCAUCCGUAGCCGGCUGCUCAAGUUUCCGGUUAAAUCCACACGCUUAACGUAUGGGCUGCCGGAAAUACUGUUCAGCUAGGGAGUGGGAGAGGUAGACAGUACUCGAUAGGAAGGGGUAAAAUCCUUUGAUCUAUUGAUGACCACCUGUGGCGAAGGCGGUCUACCAGAACACGUUCGACGGUGAGGGAUGAAAGCUGGGGGAGCAAACCGGAUUAGAUACCCGGGUAGUCCCAGCUGUAAACGAUGCAGACUCGGUGAUGCAUUGGCUUAUGGCCAGUGCAGUGCCGCAGGGAAGCCGUUAAGUUUGCCGCCUGGGAAGUACGUACGCAAGU